CAUAUUCACGGUCGGAUCAUUUGUUCCCCUGGUGCAAUAUCAAUAACCUGACCCUAGUAGUAUUCUGUUCGCAGGGGUGCCACUUGCGAAAAGGGGACGAUACUCGGUAUUUAAUUACCGUGAAUCGAGGGGUGAUCGUACAAGUACAUGGCGGUUUCGUUAUAAAUUGUUUAAUGGUCUCCCUGGUAAUGAUAAUGGAAGAUUCUCCUUUCAGUGUUCAUUCUAAAACGAAAAGUAGCAGUUCUUGCAUAACGAUUUUUAUAAAUCAUUUUUAUUAUAUUAUAUAUACUCUACUCGUAGAUUGUAAUUUUAUCGAAUCGUUGGAUACAAGGAUAUAUAUGGCAAAAUACAGAAACCAAAUUCGAUGAAGAAUACGUUUUGAAAAAGAGAAGAACACGAGUCAGGAAGCCUGUCACCGCGUAUCGUUUCUCGAAGCGUUGGCUCACGUGGCCCUCACGUGGUUUCCUGCUCUUGCUUUUUCCACGUCUAGCCAGCAUAUGCACGAUUGCGUAACAAAACGCACAAAUCAUACAGCGCGACAGAAGAAACAGAACAGACUGAUUUAUGUUCAAGGAGCGAUGGCCUAUCUGCUAUUCGCCUGACGAAAUGCAGUUUGGCCAGACCAACGAACUAUCGCUCUGCCCGUGGAAUGCGCCUGUUCAGACAUUGAAAACGUGUCCUCCUAUGGGACACCGUCGUUUCGACGGACGACGACGCAAAGGAAAUUACCAUGAUGCAGUGCACGCAUGAGAAAGCGCGUAAAAAGUUUAUCUCGUAAAAAACCAACCGAUAGCAUCCAAGUACAGGUAGAAAUUGCUGUUAGAAAGGAAUCGAAGGUCCUCAUAGAACUGGAAACUGUGGCCAGAUAUAACCCUGCAGCCUUAAUAUCUCUGGCUGGUGUCCACCAUCCAACGAAAGGAGGAAAGAAACGGAGAGAUGAAAAGGGAAAAGUAAAAAAAAAAGAA